UUUGUUUCCACGUCACCCGUUUAUGGGCUCUAUUAUUUCAAUUAUCUGUUAGUUAUUUAAUUCGGCUCAUAAUAUUUUGGCCCAUAAGCCCAAGUGAAAGUGGAGAGAUCUGUCGUAACAUUGAGGCUCUUCUCUUCCUUCUUCCUCUCCUGCUUCUUCGAUAUUCUCUAAAAGAUUCGACGUUUCCUCUUCUUAACCCUCCGCAUAACUCCAUCUUCUACAAUCAAUCCUCCAUCAAAUCCCUAUUUAUGGCUUCGUUUCGCCUUUCUCCAUCUAUGUGUAUAUAUACCUCCUCUGUUUACCCUUUUUUCUUAUUCGCUUUUUUUCCAGAUAAAAAUUCUCUCAAACCAUGAAUUCCAACAGCAGUUCCGCCGAUCUGAUGUCCGGAGGAUGUCUGAUGGCCCUCUCUCCAUACGAAAAAACUUCUUUCGGAAAGUCCCGUUAGGCCCAUAUCUACUGAACUAUUCCGAUUUCAACCUCACGACCAGUUACUUGCUCUGGCAAACACGAACAAACAACUUCCUAGAAACUGUUUCCGAAUCUCUUCCUUCGUAACUUUCUACACUACAAUCUUUAUGACCAAGCAGAGAGCUUGAGAUCAAAAGCACCAUGAUUUGAGCCACAUUCUAAUUAACCAACAGGCAGUGAGGAUUGGUGACGUGGAGCUCAGACAUGACUUUCAACCUCAUAGUUAGGCUCCGAGACAAUCAGAACAGGACUACGCAACAUUAGCAUCUCCUUCUCUCUUAACAGAUUUCGGCCAGAAGCUAAGGCUAAACUCUGCAAACCCGGUGGGAGAUGCAGAAAGCAUAGUGGCUAAAGCCAUAAGCGAUGGAGGAACCGACGCAACCAUCAACCACCAGAAGGGUAGUAUGAUCUUAGAGAAAACAUGAGACAUCUACUCCACUAACGACCCACAGAAUGCGUUUAGCUCGAGGAUUGCCUUCUGUUCUACAUGCACAACGAAGCGGUGAGAGCGCUGAGUUUCCCACCAAACACGCACAUGGAGAAAGGGAGUGAGGAGAAGAGGAGAGAGAGAUGAAACAGCAAGAAGAGGAGCUCACUAAAUACAUGGCUGAGGAAGAUGAUGACGAUUUCUUGACCUGAUACAAACUCUAGCGACUCGCGUCUCUUAUGUUAAUUCGAGAUUAUCUGUCAUUUUUCACCUUUUCGUGCACAUCUGUUCUUUUACUUUAUAGUAACGUAGGAUCUCUUUUUCUUUGUCAACGGAUUCAGAUAUCUCUCUAUAUAUAUUUACAUGAGAAGCGCAUCAAAAAAUCA